GAUGAACGCUGGCGGCGUGCCUAAUACAUGCCAGUCGAGCGAACAGACGGGGAGCUUGCUCCUCUGAUGUUAGCGGCGGACGGGUGAGUAACACGUGGAUAACCUACCUAUAAGACUGGGAUAACUUCGGGAAACCGGAGCUAAUACCGGAUAACAUGUUGAACCGCAUGGUUCAACAGUGAAAGACGGUCUUGCUGUCACUUAUAGAUGGAUCCGCGCCGCAUUAGCUAGUUGGUAAGGUAACGGCUUACCAAGGCAACGAUGCGUAGCCGACCUGAGAGGGUGAUCGGCCACACUGGAACUGAGACACGGUCCAGACUCCUACGGGAGGCAGCAGUAGGGAAUCUUCCGCAAUGGGCGAAAGCCUGACGGAGCAACGCCGCGUGAGUGAAGAAGGUCUUCGGAUCGUAAAACUCUGUUAUUAGGGAAGAACAAAUGUGUAAGUAACUAUGCACGUCUUGACGGUACCUAAUCAGAAAGCCACGGCUAACUACGUG
rnacentral:rRNA from 1 species